CAUACCAUUUGCAAAAGUAGACUACCCAAAGUAUUGCAAGUGGGGUAUGCCCAGUCUUUUGUAGUAGCCACUUAGUCACAAACACUGGCCAAAGUUAACAUUCAUAUGUGUUUUUGUGUGAAAAAAAGCAAAAAACAAAUAUUUGGCAAAUGUUUGUGACGAAGUGGCUACUAAAAAUUACUGGACAAACCCCAUUUGCAAUACCUUGGGUUGUCUAAUUUUGCAAAUGAUAUG